rnacentral:rRNA from 2 species
GGAUGCGAUCAUACCAGCACUAAAGCACCGGAUCCCAUCAGAACUCUGAAGUUAAGCGUGCUUGGGCGAGAGUAGUACUAGGAUGGGUGACCUCCUUGGAAGUCCUCGUGUUGCAUUCC